AUGCACUGGUGCCCCGGAAUCGGGCCGCGGGCGCGCUCCUUCCUGCGUGACUACGACGCGCUCCAGUCCCUCGCCCUCGCCCUCAUAUACCUCCAGAUUGGUUGUGCGCUGAUUGGAUCGCUUGGUGCGCUGUUCAAUGGGGUUCUUGUGAUAAACCUUGUGAUAGGGCUAUUUGCUGUUGUUGCGAUUGAAAGUAGUAGCCAAAGACUUGGCCGGACUUAUGCUGUCCUGCUCUUCUUUGCUAUCGUCCUUGACGUUGCAUGGUUUAUACUCUUCUCACAUGCUAUAUGGAAUAGUACCCCUGAUGAGAAGUAUGGUCAACUUUUUGUCUUCUCACUAAGACUUGCAUUGUGGAUGCAAACUAUUGGGUUUUCAGUGAGGUUUUUGUCUUCAUUUAUAUGGAUCCAGAUGUACAGGUUAGGGGUCUCAUCAAGCACGCCAACAUAUUAUGAAGCAAAUGAUGCAAGAAAUAGUUUCUUGAGCCCCAGAUCUAAUUCAGUUAGACGGGGUUCAAUGGCUGAUGAUAUAUUGGGUGGUUCAAUUUACGAUCCUUCUUACUACUCUUCUCUCUUCGAAGAUGUUCGAAAUAAUGCAUGCAAUCAUCAGAAAACUCGCAGCGCCAUGCAGUCCGGUACCUCCUCGUGCACCAGCGGUUUUUGCUAUGGCGUCUGCAUGUCCAUGUCGCGGCAAUGGAAGCACUACGUCGGGGCAACGCCUCCCUGCGAGCUCGCUCACACGCCACUCAAACUCGCCGUUGUCGCGCAAGGAGUUGAGCACGACAAGCCCGCCCACGAGCUUCUUGUUAAGGAAGAUCUGGGGCAUGUGGGUGGCGUUGCCGACCUUAGACGUGAGACUGGCAUUGCGCUUCGGGAACAUGCCGAGGCAAUGCUUGGUACCAAAAUCAGGAGAGGUCAACCUGCCAUAUGCAUGAAUAGGCAGGCCAGGAAAUCCUUGCACGGCGGUGUGCUCUUACCAAUCAGCGAGCUCCUUUCAUGCACGUCUGGAGACAUCUAG
rnacentral:rRNA from 1 species